UCCGGUGUGGUGUACCGGUUAUCAUUUCGCGUUUUCAUUGAUUCACAAGUGCCGCGAAGAACGGGGUUCGACUCCCCGCACCGGAG
rnacentral:tRNA from 1 species